rnacentral:lncRNA from 1 species
AGAGCACGUGGUGGCUGCUAGAGGACCAGCAGGGUCAGGAAGACAGUCACGGGGAAGAUAACAGGAAAUGAGUAAGAACCUGUGAAAGCCCUUUGACCUGAGGAGUUGCAGGAGGCUGAGAAUACCUGCUGGGAUGCUAAAGUUUAAAAAGGGUUGCUUAUGUGACUGUAACUGUGGAGUUAUGCACUGGACCUGGCUGGCUUCCCUAGUGGGUACAUAUCUGAAGAUAAUGAUAUCCGGUCUUCCAGAGUCUACCAAUAGCCAAUAGUUCCCCAGGGUCCUGGGUGUGAUUUUGCCAGCUGAAGGCAGUUUACAUUCGGAGUUCCGCGGACUCUUCAGAGGCUGUAAAAAUGCCGGAGUCACGAAAGCCUGCAAAGAGCUGUUGCUUGCCUUGCUGCUGCUGCUGCUACUGCCGUCCCUGCCCGUGCUGCAGCUGCUACUCCUGCUGCUGCUGCUGCUGCUUGUUGCUGAUUGUUGCGGUUGCUGGUUGCUGUUUACUGUUUGCUGCCGGCUGGAUUGCUGGAUUGCUGAUUGCCAGUCGGCGAAAUCCUGGCGAUGAAGAUCCAACUUGCCCCAAGAAACAAGACGACCCUAAGAAGUAGUCUAAUGAUUUCAAUACGCCCUUUCCCCCUCUGACCUUUCUCUCUUACCUUAUGCUGGGGGAUUGGAAGGGUGGCAGAAAAAAGAACCCAAUAAAGUAGCCAAAAGUAAAGUUA